UGUUUAUAUAUGUUUGGUCCCUCAUUGGAGUCCACCUGUGUAGGUUCGGACCCGAGGAACCGAGGACCCCAGCAGUGAGUGAGCUGCUUCAGUGUCUGGUCAGAGCUAGCCAGAGGUGAGUGGAAACAAGCUUAAUGUUUUAAAUCAAGCAAUUAAAUGUGUUGAGCAUGUUUCAUGCAUCAUGAUGACAUGUAAUAGGCUGAUUGCAUUAGUUCACGAAUAUGUCGCAUUGCAUUUUAAUUUGUGGUUGUGGGUGAAUGCUGUAUGAUCCAAUUAGUCCACGAGACUUAAUAUAUGAUAUAACAGGAAGACCAGGACCCCAUGCUACGGCCUGGCACGAGACUUUAUGUAUGUAUGACAGGAAGACCAGGACCCCAUGCUACGGCCUGGCACGAGGCUUUAUAUAUGUUAUGACAGGAAGACCAGGACCCCAUGCUACGGCCUGGCACGAGACUAUGUUGGGACUAAUUGGUGACAGGUUCACCCUUGAUGUGAAUUGUUUGUGAUAUGAUGCAUUCCAUGAAAGCAUGAAUUUUAAUAUAAUGUUUUUAGUUUCUGCUCACUGGGCUUUUAGCUCACCCCUCUCCCCUAACCCCAGGUUUGCAGGUACGGGAUUGAUAGAGAAGAAAAGAAGAGAAAAGUCAUAUGUACGUAAU
rnacentral:lncRNA from 1 species